ACUUCGAGCCGACCAGUUGCUUUG
rnacentral:miRNA from 11 species